rnacentral:pre_miRNA from 1 species
CUAAUACUCCCUCCGUCCCAAUAUUCUUGUCUUAGAUUUGUCUAAAUAUGGAUGUAUCUAGUUACAUUUUAGUGUUAGAUACAUCCGUAUCUAGACAAAUCUAAGACAAGAAUUUUGGGAUGGAGGGAGUACUAA